UCCGAGUUGACCCCGGCAGUCUCCCAUGAGUCCCCAGCACCCGAAGGCCUGCUGGCAACAUGGAACGAGGGUUGCGCUCGUUGCGGGACUUAACCCAACAUCUCACGACACGAGCUGACGACAACCAUGCACCACCUGUGAACGGCCCUAAAAGGACCCCGCAUCUCUGCGAGAUUUCCGAACAUGUCAAGCCCAGGUAAGGUUCUUCGCGUUGCAUCGAAUUAAGCCACAUGCUCCGCCGCUUGUGCGGGCCCCCGUCAAUUCCUUUGAGUUUUAGCCUUGCGGCCGUACUCCCCAGGCGGGGAACUUAAUGCGUUAGCUGCGGCACAGAGCCCGUGGAAUGGACCCCACACCUAGUUCCCAACGUUUACGGCGUGGACUAC
rnacentral:misc_RNA from 1 species